UUGCCAGGUCAAUAUUAGGUUUCUGAUGAGU
rnacentral:piRNA from 1 species